rnacentral:misc_RNA from 1 species
UCCGGUUUAACACCGGCAGUCUCCAUAGAGUGCCCAACUAAAUGAUGGCAACUAGGGAUAAGGGUUGCGCUCGUUAAGGGACUUAACCCGACAUCUCACGAUACGAGCUGACGACAGCCAUGCAGCACCUGCCUCGCUGCCCCCGAAGGGGAAACCGUAUCUCUACGGCGGUCAGCGGAUGUCAAACCCAGGUAAGGUUCUUCGCGUUGCAUCGAAUUAAUCCGCAUGCUCCGCCGCUUGUGCGGGCCCCCGUCAAUUCCUUUGAGUUUUAGCCUUGCGGCCGUACUCCCCAGGCGGGGCGCUUAAUGCGUUAGCUACGGCACGGAUUCCGUGGAAGGAACCCACACCUAGCGCCCACCGUUUACGGCGUGGACUAC